ensembl:misc_RNA
GGAGUCCUCCCCUUCGCCACAGAAAGGGUACAGCUGAGACAGCAUCUGCACAAACAGCCUGCCCACAGUCCCUGCCAGCCUGCCUCAGCUCUGACCUUGAGGAGUUGCCUUCAAGUGUGAGAGGGAAACUCC